rnacentral:rRNA from 1 species
ACCCGCUGAACUUAAGCAUAUCAAUAUAGCGGAGGAAAAGAAACCAACCGGGAUUGCCCUAGUAACGGCGAGUGAAGCGGCAACAGCUCAAAUUUGAAAUCGGGCAUUUAUGCUUGAGUUGUAAUUUGCAGAGGGAGCUUUGGUUCUGGCAGCGGUCUAAGUUCCUUGGAACAGGACGUCACAGAGGGUGAGAAUCCCGUAUGUGGUCGCUGGCCUUUACCGUGUAAAGCCCCUUCGAUGAGUCGAGUUGUUUGGGAAUGCAGCUCUAAAUGGGAGGUAAAUUUCUUCUAAAGCUAAAUACUGGCCAGAGACCGAUAGCGCACAAGUAGAGUGAUCGAAAGAUGAAAAGUACUUUGGAAAGAGAGUCAAACAGCACGUGAAAUUGUUGAAAGGGAAGCGCUUGCAGCCAGACUUGCCCGUAGUUUGCUUAUCCAGGCUUUUGCCCGGUGCACUCUUCUGCGGGCAGGCCAGCAUCAGUUUGGGCGGUUGGAUAAAGGUCUCUGUCACGUACCUCCUUUCGGGGAGGCCUUAUAGGGGAGGCGACAUGCAACCAGCCCCGGACUGAGGUCCGCGCAUUUGCUAGGAUGCUGGCGUAAUGGUGGU